UACAGAGGGUGCAAGCGUUUAAUCGGAAUUACUGGGCGUAAAGCGUGCGUAGACGGUAGCGUAAGUCGGGUGUGAAAGCCCCGGGCUCAACCUGGGAAUGGCAUUCGAGACUGCUCUGCUAGGGUGCGGAAGAGGGGAGCGGAAUUUCCGGUGUAGCGGUGAAAUGCGUAGAUAUCGGGAGGAACACCAGUGGCGAAGGCGGCGCCCUGGACGGACACUGACGCUGA
rnacentral:rRNA from 1 species